rnacentral:tRNA from 1 species
AAGGCUUUAACUUAAUUAAAGUAUUUGAUUUGCAUUCAGAAGAUGAGGGCUAGUUACCUUCAGGUCUUA